GCCGAAGUGGCGAAAUUGGUAGACGCGCACGUUUGAGGGGCGUGUGAAGCGAUUCAUACGAGUUCGAGUCUCGUCUUCGGCACCA
rnacentral:tRNA from 1 species